ACAGAGGUGGCGCAAAGCAGGAACCGUGCCCGCAUCCUGGUCACCGGCAAGAGCGGCUUGGCCUCCGACAUCCGUUAUGCGAACUCCCUAGGCUUCCUCAAGGAUGAGCCGCUGCAACAGUGUGGGCUGUUACUGCAGCAAUAUGCUUUGGGCAUCGAUGACUAAGACAAGAAGGCAAGGCACCUAACAUUAAGUAUAUGUAUCACCUAGCUUUCCAUGAACCAUGGAUGGAUGACCUUGGUUUCGGAUCCAUGGAACUUAGAUGUACUAACAAAGCUGGGUGAAGUAUUCUCCUAUAAUAUUAGAUGUGCUAAUAUUAUAUUAUCAUAAUCUUAAAUUAUAAAUUUAUAAUAAUAUAUUAUCCUGAUUCUAUCAAUAAUAAAGAACAUGUUAUUCUAAAUUCAUGAUGUCUUAGGGUGAGCUUUAUAUCCAUACAAAAAAUCUCUCUAGAAUGACUUAGUGUAACAAAGAAUCGAGAUCAUGAUUAAGGGAUUCUAAAUCAUGAUAAACCAUGAUAUGAUUUAUCAAGAUCUUCUUAAUAUAUUAAUAUUAUAUUAUCAUAAUCCUAAAUCAUAGAAUUUAUAAUAAUAUAUUAUCAUGAUUCUCCCCUGAAUCAGAGAGAACAAGAGCAGAGUCGAUCGAAGAAGCAAGGAUUGUUUGCUCUUCUAUUCUCUAGUAUUCUUUUCCUUUUUACCAUUCACAAAGAGAAACGAAAAUUGGUCUGCCUGUUCUCAUAAGAGCUCGAGUCAUCUCAAGAUACCUAUAUCGACAAUUCUUCCUUGUUUCAAUGGCACACAUAAAAUCUCAUGGAGACUAAAAAAAAGAAAACCAUACCGCCUCAUCGGUUUCAAAUCAUCAUUGUUACAGUUGUCGUACUUGAGAUAAUCAAUGUCAUGGUACAAGAAUAAGAAGAAUCAGCAAGCUAAUUUGUAUCAGAGAAAGCGAUCCUGGCAUCGUCUGGCUACAUGUUUGGUGCUUGCAAUGCCCGAUAAGUCUUGUUUCAAGAACUCACAGAUCAAGACAAUCAUGAAGAGAUGAUCAAGAUUAAUUGUUCUACCAGACUUACCCUGCAUCCGAGUAAAUACCAACCAAGUUUAAGCCCCUUGCCAUGAACAUAAUCCGCGAGAGCUUUGAUUCCUGAUGGAAACGUCAACCUUUUUGGCACCAUAUAACCCUUAAAGCAUCCAUGAAUGACCAUGAGAAUUGAUGAAACACUAAAAUGGAUGCCUUGAAGUAUUUAUGAGCAAUGCACUUGAUGCAUCAUAUUAUAAACCAGUCAAUAAAAACCCAUUUACAAACUGUUGAAUCGCGAUCAUGCUCACUCCCCAAGCUAUUAAAGCCAAGCCGGUCCUCCCACAACUCACUCGCCCUUCUCGCUCCCUCUACUGCUCUCCACAUCUCCCACACAUACUAAGAGGGGAAAGAUAUCCAAUGGCCAUCUCAUCUACCUCAUCUGCAUGCGUUCAUGCAGGAGUACUGACAGGUGAGAUCGGCUUGCAGGUGCCAAGGUCAAGCUGCAAUGCAGAAACUACGAAACCGAUGCGGUGGAGCACCUGGUCGAGGGCGUGACGGACAGCACCGGCACGUACCACAUCGAGGUGGAGGACAACCACGAGGAGGAGAUCUGCGAGGUGUCGUUGCUGCAGAGUCCGCAGCCAGGCUGCACGGAGGUGGCGCAAAGCAGGAAUCGUGCUCGCGUCCUGGUCACCGGCAGGAGCGGCUUGGCCUCCGACAUCCGUUAUGCGAACUCCCUUGGCUUCCUCAAGGACGAGCCGCUGCAACAGUGUGGGCUGUUGCUGCAGCAGUAUGCUUUGGGCGUCGAUGACUAAGACAAGAAGGCGAGGCGCCUAACAUUAAGUAUAUGUAUCACCUAGCAUUCCAUGAACCAUGGAUGGAUGACCUUGGUUUCCGAUCCAUGGAGCUUAGAUGUGCUAACAAAGCUUGGUGAAGUAUUCUCCUAUAAUAUUAGAUGUGCUAAUAUUAUAUUAUCAUAAUCUUAAAUUAUAAAUUUAUAAUAAUAUAUUAUCAUGAUUCUAUCCAUAAUAAAGAAUAUGUUAUUCUAAAUUUAUAAUAAUAAUUAAUAAUGAUUCUAUUAAUAAUGAAGAACAUGUUUUUCUAAAUUAUAAAAUAAUAUAGAUAUCAUUGAGAUAAGAUUAUCAUAAUCUCAUAGAUAUUUUAAGAAUAUAUUAUUAAAAUUUUAAAUUAUAAAAUAUUAUCUUGAUUAUAUCAAUAAUAAAGAUUAAAUCUCAAAAUGAUUUUCAAAAUUAUGAAAUAAUUUAAUAAAUAUUUUUAUAAUUUUUAUUUGUGCAUAUAAAUUUAUAAUUAUUAUCAAUGAAAAUUUAGUGAGUCAUAUUGUACCGUUAAUGAGCUUUAUAUCGAUACAAAAAAUCUAUCUAGAAUGACUUAGUGUAACAAAGAAUCGAGAUCAUGAUUAAGGGAUUCUAAAUCAUGAUAAACCAUGAUAUGAUUUAUCAAGAUCUUCUUAAUAUAUUAAUAUUAUAUUAUCAUAAUCUUAAAUCAUAGAAUUUAUAAUAAUAUAUUAUCAUGAUUCUAUCAAUAAUAAAG
rnacentral:lncRNA from 1 species